UUGUUGACUGGAGAAGGGGAGAGACCGUGAUCAAAAAGGUGGUUCUCCCUGGACGAGGCUAUCCCAUUGCUCUUCGGGUGUGCUGAUGCCUGCGAUGUCCCCAAAUGUGGGGUACUCAACUGCUGAAUUUGUGGUAGUGGGGGACUGGGUUCGCGAAAAAAACUCAUU